CCCUUAGAUGUUCUGGGCCGCACGCGCGCUACACUGAUGCAUUCAACGAGUCUAAAACCUGCUCUGAUAGGGGUGGGUAAUCUUUUGAAUGUGCAUCGUGAUUGGGAUAGAUGAUUGCAAUUUUUCAUCUUCAACGAGGAAUGCCUAGUAAACGCAAGUCAUCAGCUUGCAUUGAUUACGUCCCUGCCCUUUGUACACACCGCCCGUCGCUCCUACCGAUUGAAUGAUCCGAUGAAUAUCAUGGAUUGAGGAUUAUAGCAGGUUCGCCUGUCUUGAUCUUCGAGAAGUGAAGUAAAUCUUAUCAUUUAGAGGAAGGAGAAGUCGUAACAA
rnacentral:rRNA from 1 species